rnacentral:lncRNA from 1 species
UAAAAGUCUUACAAAACUCAAUAAAAGGGAUCAAGAUCUUUCGUAUCGAUGAAAAACUAAUCCCUAUGAUCGACGAACUGAUCCCAGAAAAUAUUCCUACGUUUAAAGAGAACUGACAUGUCUGUGUUGUGAACCCGGCCAGCUUUGCUCACACUAUAACUUGGAUCUAAGGAGUAUAGAACAGCUCUACGUUAUAGCGUUGUAUAUACAGAUUCAUCAUCAUUGGAUGAUGAUAUGCCAUUGAGUUUAGUACGCAAUAAGUUGAGAUGUUAGGAACAAAACUUGGAAUUAAAUUAUUAUUUGUCAACUCCGUUACCACUUCUCAACUCCGUUACCUCUAAACUUAACAUUAUUUUCAUUAUUUAAUUAUAUUCUCAAAGUACAAAACUUUUGUUAUACUAAUAUGUUUUCUUCGAUAAAUAUAUAACCUAGAAAACUAA